rnacentral:rRNA from 1 species
GCCAUGCGAGUCGAUCGGGUCAGACCCGAGGCGCACUGCUCAGUAACACGUGGAGAAUCUGCCCUUAGGUGAGGAAUAACCUCGGGAAACUGAGAAUAAUACCUCAUAGGUUAUGGAUGCUAGAAUGCUUCAUAGCCCAAAGCCCCGGCGCCUAAGGAUGACUCUGCGGACUAUCAGGUAGUAGUCAGGGUAAGGACCUGACUAGCCUACGACGGAUACGGGGUGUGAGAGCACUAGCCCGGAGAUGGAUUCUGAGACACGAAUCCAGGCCCUACGGGGUGCAGCAGGCGCGAAACUUCCGCAAUGCUCGCCAGAGUGACGGAGGGAUUCCAAGUGCCUAUGCUAUGCGUAGGCUGUUUUUAUGUCUAAAUAACAUGGAGAGUAAGAGCUGGGUAAGACGGGUGCCAGCCGCCGCGGUAAUACCUGCAGCUCGAGUGGUAACCGCUAUUAUUGGGCCUAAAGCGUCCGUAGCCGGUUUGGUAAAUAUCUGGGUAAAUCGUGAGGCUUAACUUCGCGAAUUUCGGAUAGACUGCCAGACUUGGGAUCGGGGGAGGUCAGAGGUACUCCAGGGGUAGCGGUGAAAUGUUGUAAUC